rnacentral:rRNA from 1 species
AGGACGAACGCUGGCGGCGUGCUUAACACAUGCAAGUCGAACGGAUUCGUGGCACUUGUGUUGCGGGUUAGUGGCGAACGGGUGAGUAACACGUGAGUAACCUGCCCCAGACUCCGGGAUAACUCCGGGAAACCGGUGCUAAUACUGGAUAUGACAUCAAGCCGCAUGGUUAUGGUGUGGAAAGUUUUUCGGUCUGGGAUGGGCUCGCGGCCUAUCAGCUUGUUGGUGAGGUAGUGGCUCACCAAGGCGACGACGGGUAGCCGGCCUGAGAGGGCGAUCGGCCACACUGGGACUGAGACACGGCCCAGACUCCUACGGGAGGCAGCAGUGGGGAAUAUUGCACAAUGGGCGCAAGCCUGAUGCAGCGACGCCGCGUGAGGGAUGACGGCCUUCGGGUUGUAACCUCUUUCAGUGGGGACGAAGCUAACGUGACGGUACCUACAGAAGAAGCCCGGCCAACUACGUGCCAGCAGCCGCGGU